GAUGAACGCUGGCGGCGUGCUUAACACAUGCAAGUCGAACGGAAAGGCCCAAGCUUGCUUGGGUACUCGAGUGGCGAACGGGUGAGUAACACGUGGGUGAUCUGCCCUGCACUUCGGGAUAAGCCUGGGAAACUGGGUCUAAUACUGGAUAGGACCACUUCUUGGAUGUUGUGGUGGAAAGUUUUUUCGGUGUGGGAUGAGCUCGCGGCCUAUCAGCUUGUUGGUGGGGUAAUGGCCUACCAAGGCGUCGACGGGUAGCCGGCCUGAGAGGGUGUACGGCCACAUUGGGACUGAGAUACGGCCCAGACUCCUACGGGAGGCAGCAGUGGGGAAUAUUGCACAAGGGGCGCAAGCCUGAUGCAGCGACGCCGCGUGGGGGAUGACGGCCUUCGGGUUGUAAACUCCUUUCGCUAGGGACGAAGCGUUUUGUGACGGUACCUGGAGAAGAAGCACCGGCUAACUACGUG
rnacentral:rRNA from 1 species